AACCAAAUGGGAUUCCUUAAGUAAUUGCGAAUGAACAAGGACAUGCUUAGCUUGACAAUUGGAGCCUCUGGCUUCGACUUGUAUUUUUGAAAUGUAUUACCAACAGAGGUGCAGGUGUCAGCCUAUUGAAAGAAAGCGUCAAUGAGGGUGAGAAUCCUGUUUGUCAUGUGCAAUCCUCUGUGCACGGUGUAUGUUUGCUGAGUCACACUCCUUGGCAUUGGAAUGCAAAGUGGGUGGUAAGUUUCAUGUAAAGGUAAAUAUAGGAUUGAGACUGAUAGCACACAAGUACCAUGAGGGAAAUAUGAAAAGGACUUUGAAAAGAGAAUUAAAUGAGUUUGUAUUUGCUGAACAGAAAAUAAACAGAUUUGAUGUUGCUUGGUGAGAUUGUGGUGCUUGCUUGACAAUAGGUUUUGAUUGUGGGUGUGAUGAUUCUUGCUUUGCUUGCCAGUUUCUAUUUGUACAUUUGAUUACCCUUGCACAUGAAUGGUAAUUUUCCUGCGGGGUUUGGAUUGCAUGUGUUUGUGAUGAUUUGUGUUUUGAUACAUGUGUCUGGUGCUUUUGUAAUUGCUCAUUUCUUGAAGCUGGGCCUACCCUACUAGAGCUUACAAGCCCUGGCACACAAUUGCUGGCAAAAUGCUUCUGCUUGACCCGUCUUGAAACACGGACCAAGG
rnacentral:rRNA from 1 species